rnacentral:lncRNA from 1 species
AUGCACCUGAGUGAUUGGAAGGGGUGGAGUCAGGAUCCACCUCUUCCCAGGCCUCGUGUAAGGGUUGGUAGUGGAGGUAAGGGUAUCUUGCUGGAGAUCUUUGUGUACCUGAGGCCUUCUGAAGGUAAGCAAUUUUUCUUCCUUUGUUUUUGUAUCCAUGGCUGCUGUGUUUGGGCUUGUUCUUGUUUGUUGCAGCCUGGGAUUGUGCCUCUCUGCUGUUAUUGCAGUAUUUUCCAUCACAUUACAGCAUUACAUGUGGGAAGACCCUGGAAAAAAAACAUCCCAUGGAGAGGGCUGGUGUUGGUGGGGCAGCUGAUGUCCUCGAGUGCUUACAGUGAGAAGCACCCUUGCAUUCAUGAUGAUUUGGAAACUGAUGGUCACCAAGCCUCCACCUGCAGCCUCUGGAUCAAGUCUCAAGCAGCAUUAUGGACGUGAUCCAAGUCCCACUGCUGCCAGCAGCCAGCUGCUGUUUGCUUUUGCUCUGUGUUUACUUGAACGUGGCAAGGGCAGAAUGUGGCCUGCUUGGGAAGAUUCCCAUUCAUUUUAAGGAGCCUUUGCUUGAGCCUACAGUGAAGAGUGAACUUCCAGCAGCUUGCAGCACAUGGAGCUUACCAGUACACAGGCAACAAACUUUUGGAUAUGGGAUGUGUCAAAUGCAGCUUUGAAAGGAAGAUCUUGGUGAAGAAGGGUAUACAUAUACAAUACACAGCAAAGCAGUUAUUAAACACUUCUUCAGGUAUACGUACAGCUGAUAAAAUCCAAAGCUUCUUAUUUAUUUUAGAGAUUUGUUUUAUUAUUCUGCUCGCAAGCAACUGUAGCCUGUUAUAAGUCCCAAGGCACAAAAAUAUCUAAGAAUAGUCAAGGAAACUUAGAAUUAAUUUGUAAAAUUUUGUAAUCAUUUGCAACUUCAUUAAACACUCAGAUGACUAAUAAGACAUUAUUCUUAUCUUGAUUUAAAAUUUUAAUUGCAUGAAGUUUGGUUCCUCUGUAAUUAACACAUUGUAUAUCCCACCUAAUUCGUGAACUAAAUUGUCAUUUCCUAGUUCUUAACGUUACUUGGCUAAUUCUGCCAGUGACAAAGAAUUUUAUGUCAAAACUCCACAGCAAGUGACAUUCUGCAUGCACAAUAAUGACAAAACAAGUUAAUUUAAUGCAAAGUUGCUGAAAGACAGAGCUUUUUUAAUUGCGUAUUUGUUACCUUCAUUAAAAGGUAAGUGGCUCUUCAGUUAUGUAUUUGCCCAUUUCUUACACAUGAAAAAAGUGCUAAUGAACCUGAUUAAAAUUAAUUGAAAAGGUCCAAGAUCUGCAAAGAGAUCUAACAUCAACAGACUUCUAAUUGCUGCUAAAAGAUGGACUUAAAUAGGGUUUAGGAGUAGAUAGAAAUUCAUUCUCUCUCUCUGUUGUAAGGGAUGACUUGGAGAACGCAAAAGCACUC